AUCACUUUUUGGUCUUUUGGCUAAAAUCAAAUACAGUAUAUGAUAGUGUAGUUUUAUAU
rnacentral:snRNA from 1 species